rnacentral:rRNA from 1 species
ACGUGAAUAAUCUACCUCCGAGUGGGGAAUAACCUAGGGAAACCUGGGCUAAUACCGCAUAACACUUACGAGUCAAAGCAGCAAUGCGCUUGGAGAGGAGUUCGCGGCAGAUUAGCUAGUUGGUGGGGUAAUGGCCCACCAAGGCGAUGAUCUGUAUCCGGCCUGAGAGGGCGCACGGACACACUGGAACUGAAACACGGUCCAGACUCCUACGGGAGGCAGCAGUGGGGAAUUUUGCGCAAUGGGGGAAACCCUGACGCAGCAACGCCGCGUGGAGGAUGAAAUCCCUUGGGAUGUAAA